GGGCAUAUAAACGUUGAAAAUAUGCCGCACAGCCCUAUAUUUUUGACCUUUGAAAAAAAUUGUGGUGCAUAUGAACUUUCAAGUCUAGGAUAAGAUUUUUUUCAAAACUUCAUAGUAAAAGUGGUACAGUUUUAGCCGUAAAAGGAGUUCCUAUGGGAAAUUGCAUUGUCAAUAUUUACAGAAAUGCAACCUAUAUAGGGUGAAAAAGGGGGAACAUUCAGAAUUUAACCAAAUUUGCUUUAUUUCACAGAUUUUAAAGAAAUUAACUCAAAUAAGAAGUUUUAUAAAUAUUUAAUGAAGAUUGAUAGAAUCUUGGGCCUU
rnacentral:lncRNA from 1 species